rnacentral:rRNA from 1 species
CGUCCUAUUAGCUAGUUGGAGAGGUAAUGGCUCACCAAGGCUACGAUGGGUAGGGGUUCUUAGUGGAAGGUCCCCCACACUGGCACUGAGAUACGGGCCAGACUCCUACGGGAGGCAGCAGUAGGGAAUAUUGGUCAAUGGGCGCAAGCCUGAACCAGCCAUGCCGCGUGCAGGAUGAAGGCUCUCUGAGUUGUAAACUGCUUUUGUACAGGAGCAAAAAAGCCCCUGAGGGGGCUCUUGAGAGUACUGUAAGAAUAAGCACCGGCUAAUUCCGUGCCAGCAGCCGCGGUAAUACGGAAGGUGCAAGCGUUAUCCGGUUUUAUUGGGUUUAAAGGGUGCGUAGGCGGCUUAUUAAGUCAGUUGUGAAAUCCUAGUGCUUAACGCUAGAACUGCGAUUGAUACUAUU